rnacentral:rRNA from 1 species
UACGUAGGGGGCAAGCGUUGUCCGGAAUUAUUGGGCGUAAAGAGCGUGUAGGCGGCCAGAUAAGUCCGCUGUGAAAACUCGAGGCUCAACCUCGAGACGUCGGUGGAAACCGUUUGGCUAGAGUCCGGAAGAGGAGAGUGGAAUUCCCGGUGUAGCGGUGAAAUGCGCAGAUAUCAGGAGGAACACCGAUAGCGAAGGCAGCUCGCUGGGACGGUACUGACGCUGAGGCGCGAAAGCGUGGGGAGCAAACAGG